UACGUAGGGGCAAGCGUUGUCCGGAAUUACUGGGCGUAAAGAGCGCGUAGGCGGAUAAUUAAGUCAGGUGUGAAAGACCGCAGCCUAACUGCGGGGUUGCACUUGAGACUGGUUAUCUUGAGGGCAGGAGAGGUCAGUAGAAUUCCUGGUGUAGCGGUGAAAUGCGUAGAAAUCAGGAGGAAUACCAGUGGCGAAGGCGGCUGACUGGACUGACCCUGACGCUGAGGUGCGAAAGCGUGGGUAGCAAACAGGAUUAGAUACCCCUGUA
rnacentral:rRNA from 1 species